UACGUAGGGUGCAAGCGUUGUCCGGAAUUAUUGGGCGUAAAGAGCUCGUAGGCGGUUUGUCGCGUCUGCUGUGAAAAUCCUAGGCUCAACCUUGGACCUGCAGUGGGUACGGGCAAGCUAGAGUGCGGUAGGGGAGAUGGGAAUUCCUGGUGUAGCGGUGGAAUGCGCAGAUAUCAGGAGGAACACCAAUGGCGAAGGCACAUCUCUGGGCCGUAACUGACGCUGAGGAGCGAAAGCGUGGGGAGCGAACAGGAUUAGAAACCCCAGUAGUCC
rnacentral:rRNA from 1 species